rnacentral:siRNA from 1 species
AGGCAUGUGGAUGCUUAUGGUUCG